rnacentral:rRNA from 1 species
GAUGAACGCUGGCGGCGUGCUUAACACAUGCAAGUCGAACGGAAAGGCCCAAGCUUGCUUGGGUCCUCGAGUGGCGAACGGGUGAGUAACACGUGGGUGAUCUGCCCUGCACUUCGGGAUAAGCCUGGGAAACUGGGUCUAAUACCGGAUAGGACCACUUCUUGGAUGUUGUGGUGGAAAGUUUUUUCGGUGUGGGAUGAGCUCGCGGCCUAUCAGCUUGUUGGUGGGGUAAUGGCCUACCAAGGCGUCGACGGGUAGCCGGCCUGAGAGGGUGUACGGCCACAUUGGGACUGAGAUACGGCCCAGACUCCUACGGGGGGCAGCAGUGGGGAAUAUUGCACAAUGGGCGCAAGCCUGAUGCAGCGACGCCGCGUGGGGGAUGACGGCCUUCGGGUUGUAAACUCCUUUCGCUAGGGACGAAGCGUUUUUGUGACGGUACCUGGAGAAGAAGCACCGGCUAACUACGUG